GAUGAAGAACGCAGCGAAAUGCGAUAAGUAGUGUGAAUUGCAGAAUUCAGUGAAUCAUCGAAUCUUUGAACGCACAUUGCGCCCUUUGGUAUUCCUUAGGGCAUGCCUGUUCGAGCGUCAUUUAAACCUUCAAGCUAAGCUUGGUGUUGGGUGACUAUCCGCUUCACGGCGGACUCGCCUCAAAAUUAUUGGCGGCCGGUACAUUGGCUUCGAGCGCAGCAGAAACGCGAACUCGGGCCCGUCGUAUUGGCUCCCAGAAGCUAUCUUCACAAUUUUGACCUCGGAUCAGGUAGGGAUACCCGCUGAACUUAAGCAUAUCAAUAAGCGGAGGA
rnacentral:misc_RNA from 1 species